GAUGAACGCUGGCGGCGUGCCUAAUACAUGCAAGUCGAGCGAACAGACGAGGAGCUUGCUCCUCUGACGUUAGCGGCGGACGGGUGAGUAACACGUGGAUAACCUACCUAUAAGACUGGGAUAACUUCGGGAAACCGGAGCUAAUACCGGAUAACAUGUUGAACCGCAUGGUUCAACAGUGAAAGACGGUUUUGCUGUCACUUAUAGAUGGAUCCGCGCCGCAUUAGCUAGUUGGUAAGGUAACGGCUUACCAAGGCAACGAUGCGUAGCCGACCUGAGAGGGUGAUCGGCCACACGGGAACUGAGACACGGUCCAGACUCCUACGGGAGGCAGCAGUAGGGAAUCUUCCGCAAUGGGCGAAAGCCUGACGGAGCAACGCCGCGUGAGUGAAGAAGGUCUUCGGAUCGUAAAACUCUGUUAUUAGGGAAGAACAAAUGUGUAAGUAACUAUGCACGUCUUGACGGUACCUAAUCAGAAAGCCACGGCUAACUACGUG
rnacentral:rRNA from 1 species